rnacentral:rRNA from 1 species
AUACGGAGGGUGCGAGCGUUAAUCGGAAUUACUGGGCGUAAAGGGUGCGUAGGCGGCUUGAUAAGUCGGAUGUGAAAGCCCCGGGCUUAACCUGGGAAUUGCAUUCGAUACUGUCAGGCUAGAGUAUGUCAGAGGUUGGCGGAAUUCCUGGUGUAGCGGUGAAAUGCGUAGAUAUCAGGAGGAACACCAGUGGCGAAGGCGGCUAACUGGGACAAUACUGACGCUGAGGCACGAAAGCGUGGGGAGCAAACAGGAUUAGAUACCCCAGUAGUCC